rnacentral:rRNA from 1 species
AUGGGCGCAAGCCUGAUGCAGCGACGCCGCGUGCGGGAUGGAGGCCUUCGGGUUGUAAACCGCUUUUGAUCGGGAGCAAGCCCUUCGGGGUGAGUGUACCUUUCGAAUAAGCACCGGCUAACUACGUGCCAGCAGCCGCGGUAAUACGUAGGGUGCAAGCGUUAUCCGGAAUUAUUGGGCGUAAAGGGCUCGUAGGCGGUUCGUCGCGUCCGGUGUGAAAGCCCAUCGCUUAACGGUGGGUCUGCGCCGGGUACGGGCGGGCUGGAGUGCGGUAGGGGAGACUGGAAUUCCCGGUGUAACGGUGGAAUGUGUAGAUAUCGGGAAGAACACCAAUGGCGAAGGCAGGUCUCUGGGCCGUCACUGACGCUGAGGAGCGAAAGCGUGGGGAGCGAACAGGAUUAGAUACCCUGGUAGUCCACGCCGUAAACGGUGGAUGCUGGAUGUGGGGCCCGUUCCACGGGUUCCGUGUCGGAGCUAACGCGUUAAGCAUCCCGCCUGGGGAGUACGGCCGCAAGGCUAAAACUCAAAGAAAUUGACGGGGCCCGCACAAGCGGCGGAGCAUGCGGAUUAAUUCGAUGCAACGCGAAGAACCUUACCUGGGCUUGACAUGUUCC